UGGUGCUCUGGCGAAGAUGAACUGUGGUGGAGAAGUUGUGCAUGGUUGACGGAGUAGAAGAUGAACCAUGGUGACUACUAAUGACGACGAUGCAUGGUGACUGCUAGUGACGACGAUGCAUGGUGACUGACAGAGCAGUUGUGGUGGUCUAGUGAUGGUGGCGGCACAAGGAGGUUGGUAAGGGGAUUAGGGUUCUGUAGAUGAAAGAUGAAACUGGUGUGGCAGGGAUGAUGAGGUGGUUGCCUCACAUUGGUUU
rnacentral:lncRNA from 1 species